UACGGGGGGGGCAAGCGUUGUUCGGAAUUACUGGGCGUAAAGGGUUUGUAGGUGGCUUGUUAAGUCAGACGUGAAAUCCCUCAGCUUAACUGGGGAACUGCGUCUGAUACUGGCGAGCUUGAGUGCAGGAGAGGAACGCGGAAUUCCAGGUGUAGCGGUGAAAUGCGUAGAUAUCUGGAGGAACACCGGUGGCGAAGGCGGCAUCCUGGACCAACACUGACACUGAGGAGCGAAAGCCAGGGGAGCAAACGGG
rnacentral:rRNA from 1 species